rnacentral:rRNA from 1 species
CACGUGGGUAACCUGCCCAUAAGACUGGGAUUUUUCCGGGAAACCGGGGCUAAUACCGGAUAAUAUUUUGAACUGCAUGGUUCGAAAUUGAAAGGCGGCUUCGGCUGUCACUUAUGGAUGGACCCGCGUCGCAUUAGCUAGUUGGUGAGGUAACGGCUCACCAAGGCAACGAUGCGUAGCCGACCUGAAAGGGUGAUCGGCCACACUGGGACUGAUACACGCCCCACACUCCUUCGCGAGGCAGCUUUUGGGAAUCUUCCUUAAUGGUCUAUAGUCUGACUGAGCAUCUCCGCGUGCGUUAUUUCGGCUUUUGGGUCUCAAUCCUCUGGUGUUUUGGAAGAACAUUUGCUAGUUCAAAU